AUCGGUGUUGAUAGCAGAGAGGUUCCACCUGUUCCCAUUCCGAACACAGCAGUUAAGCUCUCUUACGUCGAGAAUACUUGGUUGGUGACGACCCGGGAAAUUAGAAAGAUGCCGGUA
rnacentral:rRNA from 1 species